CACGCGGUACAUCUGACAGUGCUGGAAAGGCGGGGUGAGCAGCUCGCUGCCAGAGCUGCCGCUGUCAGACAGCGUCCUCCGGAUCAGGACACGUCUGUGCACCGCAGACCAAGCGUAUUCGUGAGCGUAACCUGCCGAAUGGAAGCCUUUCAUUUUCCAGUUCUAACUACUCACACCAGCAAAUCCUUGGGUUUUAUUCAAGGCUGGCCAAUGGCACCUCUCCUCUAACCCAGCCUUUAAGCUCUACAUGACAAUGCACCACAGCCACACGCUGAAUCCCUUUAGAGAAAAGUUGCAGCAAAGACGCCUCUAUCUGCGCGGCCGCUGAGCCCAGGGCUCCGGCGCUGCGAGGGCAGGACAUCGCAAGGCUUCCUUUGGGAAAAUGACUGUGGCUGCAGGGCUGGCCAAAACACUUAAUUCCCACGUCCUAUACUGCCAGUUCACAGGAAGAAACAAAACUCAUCUAGGUAGGAAGAAGGCACUGUCUGAUUUGCCUGUUCCUGGAGUGAAGCGGCAGCACUGCCGGAGGUUCCCGGCCGCCCAGCUCCACCGGCUGGUCUGCCGUACGGAACACAGUGCCCUACUUCGAGCAUCUGUGAAAACUGCAGCGCCGGAAUCAAACCAGCUCUGUUCUCUGACAGCAACCCCUGAAACAUCACUCUGCACAGUCCUUUCACUUGCAGGAUCCAGAAGGAAAAUCUGAGGAGGCUGCAAUAGGUCAGGAAGAUAAUCACAGUCUGACUUCUCCCCAGCCUGUCAUUUGUGCUAUUCAAACCCUCCUUCCCCACCUCGGAUGUUCAUGGCUCACACUGGCUCUUCCUCAGCUCGUAAAAUCUCCUGGGGCAAUCUGUGCGGCUCUUGCUAUGGAAGCGACUUUCCUGUUUGCAAGUGCAUCAAGAAUUUGAAACAUCUAGAUAAGCAAAGGUGUUUCACAUUUAUUAAGUGCCACUUUACUUACAGGCGAGGUAUGUAACAUGCAUUCAUGUGGACUGAGUAUUUCUCCGGGAGCUAUUUGCAUGAUUGAAAUAGCAGCAUGUACGUAACACGGGCCAUCAGGUUAUACACAUCUUACUCAAAGCCACCGUGUAAGGUAACAAAGCUCUUGUCGGAAGAUUUUUGUCCAUGAAGAAUACCUUUAGAGAAUUUUUAUAGUACAGAGAAAUGACUAUGAAAUAGCAAAUUCGAGGAUUCGCAUUAUCUAGAACAUCGCUAAGAUAUUUCCCUCGGUACUCAGACCUCAGCCAGCCUCAUACUCAUGAUCUCAAUGUGGUAUCACCCUCAUGCUCAUGGUAUCACUUUGAUAUCAGCCCCGUACUCAUGAUAUCACUGUGAUAUCAGCCUCAUGCUAUCAACUCUUCAUGCUCUUGCUCUUCUGGCUCCAUCAUGGAGACUGACCAGUAUUUGCUGUGAAGGAAAAGAUCUAAAAUACGCAGCUGGCCAAUAUCAUGCAAUAUUUCCCUAAGCGCCACUGCUGAGCAGUUUAUGCCCAAAAGCAAGAGACUGGACUUUCUUUAUUGCUGCCAGCCUGGCCAGAAAUCUGUCAUCGUGUUAUCAAGCCACUUCUUCAUAUCCAGCAAUAGCUUUGAACCCUAGACAGGGAACUGAUAAAGAAAAUACCAAAUACUUUCUGUGGGAAAUGACCGCAGCGUUCUUUCAUUACCUUGUAUUUCACAUCUCAACAACUGCUGGAUGACUCGUGCGGGAUGUGGAAAUCAGAACUCAGGGCUGCGCUACGACGUGACUUUCCUUCUGCAUCCUAUUGGUUUGCCAUUCACUGCCACCAGAAGGAGAUGACACUGUGCCAUGUGCAGUUUUCAUUGCCAGCUUCCUUGGGAGAACGUAAUUUUUAGAUGGAGGAAGAAAGAAAGAGAGAGGAGUUGGUGUCCCCAGCCAUGAGAGAGGGAAAAUCCAACCUGGGGUGUGAGCGCCGUGCUUUCCUGGUGAGAUCAUAAGAACAUCACCCAUUUCUCCUUGAUUUUUAACUUUAAACAGCAUUUGAUUCUCAUCUGCAGACAAAUGAGGCUAAUCCUGCCCUAUGAACACCGCCUGCUCCUCUAGCCCAGCUGCAUUCUUGGGAGUUCCGUAAUUAAAGUAUUGCCCUCUAUAUUACAUGCUCUUUGUAUGCUUUUCUGUUUAUAUUGAGAGCUUGUCCAGGGCAGAAUUGUGUCUUCCUAUGUGCAGGCAGCAUUCACCAGCAGUACAAACACCCUAGAAAAGAUCAAACUACUAACAGGGAAAGCCCCUCUGAGACACAAGUGUCUUGGAAUCAGGAUAAAACCCAAAAGAAUGAAAAAAUAGCUGCAAAACCAUUGCGUGCCCAGGGACAGAUGGCGACACAAGCUCAGACCCUACUGCUGCAUGGGCUGCGGUCAGACCCGCGCUCCGGCAUCCAGCUUAGAGAACAGACACGGAGAUCCAGCCCUCGAGCAGGCGAGAGGGUGAGGCUGGAGCCAGGGCACCGGAGCUGCUCCUCUUGGUAAGUGCUGCUUAGCAACACGGCCCUGCUACAGCACAGGAUUAAUCCAAUUUGCGGUGUCAUUGGAAACACUCGGCUCAGUCCAUUUGAAAAAAUCAGAUGAAGAUGCGCUGGCGUCCCACAGGUCACCAAGGGGACAGUGUGGGUCUGUCUAGGUCAGGAAAACUGGAAUUACGUCAAAUGAGAGGCACUGAGGGUUAAUUACGAAUAUGGCAAACCUAAUACAUGCAAGUAAGUAUCAGCAAAUCACAGACAGAAGCAGCAAUAGCUUCAGCGCAUAACAUCUCAUCCCUUUCCACCUCUGGCCAAUAAUAGAUUGCUGCUUAUGCUCUGUUUUUGUAAAGAUUUUAGCAACCUUGUUGAAAAUGUCUUGGUCACAGGGUCUCCUCUCACUGCCUGGAAGAACAAUGAGGUAGCCUGGCAGCUCUCAGUGCUUUCGGGAUAUUUUCCCCAGGAGUAGCGAAAUGUUUCUUUGCAGAAUUUCACUGCUCCUGUCCUGGCUCUUCUCUAGCAGGGAAGGACUCCCCUCCCAGCCUCCCAACAGUCCCUGACCAAGAAAACCACCAAAACACUCCAGGCAAGCCAGGGCCUUAUGGUAAAGUAACAGAACACUUGGGAAGUGUUUGUCCGCGCUCCCCAAGCAGCGCCAAUGACUUGUGUGAGAUGUGCACGUGGAACAGGGGGAUGUUAAUAGAGUCCAAAUGAAGGAAUAAAACUGCCAGGAAGGAUCUAGAAAACAAUUGCCAUUCACCAGCCAUUGUUGCUCAGGGAUUGCCUGAUUCCUCCGUUUGGAUUCUUUUGUUCUCCUAUUAAAACAAAACCACACUACUCGGGAUUAUUUGUUCAAAGUUCCAUAAUUAUC